UCUUGGUCAUUUAGAGGAAGUAAAAGUCGUAACAAGGUUUCUGUAGGUGAACCUGCAGAAGGAUCAUUGAAGUAAUUCUUAGCGGUCUUUCGCGCUUUCCGAAGCGCAAAGCCGCGAUCCACCAACCACACACACCUGUGCACACUUGAAAAUUCACAAACGCAAAGUAAUCUUCGAAUGAAAACAAAAAAUCCUUCGAAGGAAGGUGAAAGUUAAAUACAACUUUCGGCAACGGAUCUCUAGGUUCUCCUAUCGAUGAAGAACGCAGCGAAUUGCGAUAAGUAAUUGUGAAUUGCAGAAGUCAGUGAAUCAUCGAAUCUUUGAACGCAUCUUGCGCCCUUUGGUAUUCCUUAGGGCAUGCCUGUUUGAGUGUCACGAGCACCCUUUGAACCUCGGUUUUUUUCAUUAAAUUCCGCUUGGGUUCAGUCUUGAGCGCCUGCCCAUUCAACCGGGCUCGCUCUAAAUACAUUAGCUGGAAUUUCUUUCCAAACGGUCGCCCGCUUUUUAAAGCAAAGGGGAUUUAUCAGCGUGAUAAGUAUCUUGCUGGUAUUUCCCUUUUGCAAGGACGUGCCCGGUUUGAAUUUCGCUUCUAAUCAAGGGAGCCGGUCUUUUCGAAGAUCGCGUCUCCGCACUACUUGACAUCUGGCCUCAAAUAGGUAGGACUACCCGCUGAACUUAAGCAUAUCAAUAAGCGGAGGAAAAGAAACUAACAAGGAUUCCCC
rnacentral:rRNA from 1 species